rnacentral:rRNA from 1 species
UACGGAGGGUGCAAGCGUUAUCCGGAAUCACUGGGUUUAAAGGGUGCGUAGGCGGGUUUAUAAGUCAGUGGUGAAAGCUCAUCGCUUAACGAUGGAAUUGCCAUUGAUACUGUGAAUCUUGAAUCAAGUUGAGGUUGGCGGAAUGUGACAUGUAGCGGUGAAAUGCAUAGAUAUGUCAUAGAACACCGAUUGCGAAGGCAGCUGACUGGACUUAGAUUGACGCUGAGGCACGAAAGCGUGGGGAU